GUCGCCGGAGCUCCAUUUGUCGCGAUCCCCAUCUUCGGCCGAAGGCCACCUCCGCCGGAGCCCAAGCCGUCGCCGCCUCGAUCUUCCCCGGCGCGCGCGAAGCCCCUGGAUGGAUGCACCUCUCUGCCCUGCGUAGUUCGGUAGCCGGAGCCUCGCCGGAGGUGCCCGGAGCCAUCCAGGGCAGUCGCUGGCGGCGCGCCUCUGCCUCACGGGCGAGCGCGAGGUGGACGACGACCUCGGGCCAGGCGGGCCCCAUCUCCACGCGGCCCCACCUGUCCGCGAGCGGGCGUUGACCCCGCCUGCCCACGCUUAUAAGUGACGGGCCCCAGCCCCGUGGGACCCGUCCGUCAGCAAGACAAGCCCCGGCCCCGCCACUGCCUACCUGGAUAAGUGGCAACGCAUUCUGCGUAGAUACGAUUUCGCUUAGGGGCCUGUUUGUAGAAAUCUUUUUACGGAUUGGUCCCUGGACUUCGUCAGGCUAUAACUUUUUGCUCGUAACUCCAAAUGAGCCCCCCACGGGAGAGAACUCUUUCCAGCAAAUCUUUUCGCGGCUUCACCGCACUUCUUCCUGGUGCUUUCUUAACCCCAGGCAAGCCACAACACCCACUUGCAUGAUGGCCAUGCAUUAGUCAUGGUUUUCAACUUGAACAUUUUAUAACUGACUGUUCGUUUAGCUGCAACUGUUAUUGUUGUUUCGGUACU